AUUGAACGCUGGCGGCAUGCCUUACACAUGCAAGUCGAACGGUAACAGGUCUUCGGAUGCUGACGAGUGGCGAACGGGUGAGUAAUACAUCGGAACGUGCCUAGUAGUGGGGGAUAACUACUCGAAAGAGUGGCUACUACCGCAUGAGAUCUACGGAUGAAAGCAGGGGAUCGCAAGACCUUGUGCUACUAGAGCGGCCGAUGGGAGAUUAGGUAGUUGGUGGGAUAAAAGCUUACCAAGCCGACGAUCUGUAGCUGGGCUGAGAGGACGAUCAGCCACACUGGGACUGAGACACGGCCCAGACUCCUACGGGAGGCAGCAGUGGGGAAUUUUGGACAAUGGGCGCAAGCCUGAUCCAGCAAUGCCGCGUGCAGGAUGAAGGCCUUCGGGUUGUAAACUGCUUUUGUACGGAACGAAAAGCCCCGGGUUAAUACCCUGGGGUCAUGACGGUACCGUAAGAAUAAGCACCGGCUAACUACGUGCCAGCCGCCGCCGUAA
rnacentral:rRNA from 1 species